rnacentral:rRNA from 1 species
AACCGGAUUAGAUACCCUGGUAGUCCAUACCGUAAACGAUGAAUGCUAAGUGUUGGAGGGUUUCCGCCCUUCAGUGCUGCAGCUAACGCAUUAAGCAUUCCGCCUGGGGAGUACGGCCGCAAGGCUGAAACUCAAAGGAAUUGACGGGGGCCCGCACAAGCGGUGGAGCAUGUGGUUUAAUUCGAAGCUACGCGAAGAACCUUACCAGGUCUUGACAUACUAUGCAAAUCUAAGAGAUUAGACGUUCCCUUCGGGGACAUGGAUACAGGUGGUGCAUGGUUGUCGUCAGCUCGUGUCGUGAGAUGUUGGGUUAAGUCCCGCAACGAGCGCAACCCUUAUUAUCAGUUGCCAGCAUUAAGUUGGGCACUCUGGUGAGACUGCCGGUGACAAACCGGAGGAAGGUGGGGAUGACGUCAAAUCAUCAUGCCCCUUAUGACCUGGGCUACACACGUGCUACAAUGGAUGGUACAACGAGUUGCGAACUCGCGAGAGUAAGCUAAUCUCUUAAAGCCAUUCUCAGUUCGGAUUGUAGGCUGCAACUCGCCUACAUGAAGUCGGAAUCGCUAGUAAUCGCGGAUCAGCAUGCCGCGGUGAAUACGUUCCCGGGCCUUGUACACACCGCCCGUCACACCAUGAGAGUUUGUAACACCCAAAGUCGGUGGGGUAACCUUUUAGGAACCAGCCGCCUAAGGUGGGACAGAUGAUUAGGGUGAAGUCGUAACAAGGUAACC